rnacentral:lncRNA from 1 species
GGCCUGCACUACUUCGGUGAGGUCCCUGACCUGUUAAACCAGCAGGUCAAACUGCUCUAUGCCGACUACCACUGUCGGAGGAGGAGCCUGAAAAACUGGAAAUGAGGUCGGAGCCUGCGGAUCUCGCUGAGAUCUGGUCGCGGAGGCCGUAGAUCAUCUGGUGGAUGCCUUUCAGGGAGGCAUCUGGUGAGGAUCUGGCUGAAGAAGAAGAGGAAGAUG